AUUAAUGAUAUCAAUGAAUUUAUAACUUGGUCCAUUAGGUCUAAGUAAAUUUUUGAAAUUUCAUUGUGAUGAAGAUAGAUCAUUGCAAUUAUUGAUCUUCAAU
rnacentral:ncRNA from 1 species